UACGGGGGGAGCAAGCGUUGUUCGGAUUUACUGGGCGUAAAGGGCGCGUAGGCGGCACCGCAAGUCGACUGUGAAAUCUCCGGGCUUAACUCGGAAAGGUCAGCCGAUACUGCGGGGCUAGAGUGGCAGAAGGGGCAACUGGAAUUCUCGGUGUAGCGGUGAAAUGCGUAGAGAUCCGGAGGAACACCAGUGGCGAAGGCGACGUCCUGGGCUUGACCUGACGCUGAGACGCGACAGCACGGGGAGCGAACGGG
rnacentral:rRNA from 1 species